CCUACGGGAGGCAGCAGUGAGAAAUAUUGGUCAAUGGGCGCGAGCCUGAACCAGCCAAGUAGCGUGAAGGAUGACUGCCCUACGGGUUGUAAACUUCUUUUAUAAAGGAAUAAAGUGAGGCACGUGUGCCUUUUUGUAUGUACUUUAUGAAUAAGGAUCGGCUAACUCCGUGCCAGCAGCCGCGGUAAUACGGAGGAUCCGAGCGUUAUCCGGAUUUAUUGGGUUUAAAGGGAGCGUAGAUGGGUUGUUAAGUCAGUUGUGAAAGUUUGCGGCUCAACCGUAAAAUUGCAAUUGAUACUGGCGGCCUUGAGUACAGUGGAGGCAGGCGGAAUUCGUGGUGUAGCGGUGAAAUGCUUAGAUAUGACGAAGAACUCCGAUUGCGAAGGCAGCUUACUAAACUGCCACUGACAUUGAUGCUCGAAAGUGUGGGUAUCAAACAGGAUUAGAUACCCCAGUAGUC
rnacentral:rRNA from 1 species